rnacentral:lncRNA from 1 species
UCUGGCUCGGGUACCUCUUCCCAGGGUCAGGGCGUUACAAAGGGAGGCUGCUGUCUUCCCAUGAAUCUAUUAGGGACCUACAGGAGCGAAGAGAACCCUUCUGAGUAUCAGCGAAGACAGCUUAUUAAGACUUUACGAGUUUGCAAGCCAUCCUCGUCCUAUUUCCUCACUUCGGACUUUUUGGACACACCUUCCUUUUCCUGUGAGCCAACCCAAACGAAUGAGUUACAAG